rnacentral:tRNA from 1 species
GCGAAAAUAGCUCAAUAGGUAGAGUGUAAUCUUGCCAAGAUUAUGGUUGAGGGUUCGAAUCCCUUUUUUCGCU